AUGAACGCUGGCGGCGUGCUUAACACAUGCAAGUCGAACGAAGCACCUCUCCCGAAGAUUGACACAGCUUGCUGUAGAUUGAUUCAUUUGAGGUGACUGAGUGGCGGACGGGUGAGUAACGCGUGGGUAACCUGCCUCAUAGAGGGGGACAACAGUUGGAAACGACUGCUAAUACCGCAUAGUAAGAAGAAUUCGCAUGUUUUCUUCUUGAAAGAUUUAUCGCUAUGAGAUGGACCCGCGUCUGAUUAGCUAGUUGGUAAGGUAACGGCUUACCAAGGCGACGAUCAGUAGCCGGCCUGAGAGAGUGAACGGCCACAUUGGGACUGAGACACGGCCCAAACUCCUACGGGAGGCAGCAGUGGGGAAUAUUGCACAAUGGGGGAAACCCUGAUGCAGCGACGCCGCGUGAGUGAAGAAGUAUUUCGGUAUGUAAAGCUCUAUCAGCAGGGAAGAUAAUGACGGUACCUGACUAAGAAGCCCCGGCUAACUACGUG
rnacentral:rRNA from 1 species